rnacentral:rRNA from 1 species
CGUAUGUCGCAAGCGUUAUCCGGAAUUAUUGGGCAUAAAGGGCAUCUAGGCGGCCCUGUAAGUCUAGGGUGAAAACCUGCGGCUCAACCGCAGGCCUGCCCCGGAAACUACAGGGCUAGAGUAUCGGAGAGGUGGACGGAACUGCACGAGUAGAGGUGAAAUUCGUAGAUAUGUGCAGGAAUGCCGAUGAUGAAGAUAGUUCACUGGACGGUAACUGAACGCUGAAGUGCGAAAGCUAGGGAGCAAACAGGAUU